AUUGAACGCUGGCGGCAGGCCUAACACAUGCAAGUCGAGCGAGCGGCGGACGGGUGAGUAAUGCCUGGGAAUUGCCCAGUCGAGGGGGAUAACAGUUGGAAACGACUGCUAAUACCGCAUAAGAUUGGAUUGCACAGGUGGGAUUAGCUAGUUGGUGAGGUAAUGGCUCACAAAGGCGACGAUCCCUAGCUGGUAUGAGAGGAUGAUAAGCCACACUGGGACUGAGACACGGUCCAGACUCCUACGGGAGGCAGCAGUGGGGAAGAUUGCACAAUGGGGGAAACCCUGAUGCAGCGAUGCCGCGUGUGUGAAGAAGGCCGUCGGGUUGUAAAGCCCUAUCAGUGGGGAGGCGUUACUCGCAAAAGAGGCACCGGCUAACUCCGUGCCAGCGGCCGCGGUAAUAA
rnacentral:rRNA from 1 species